rnacentral:rRNA from 1 species
UACGUAGGUGGCAAGCGUUAUCCGGAUUUACUGGGUGUAAAGGGCGUGUAGGCGGGAGAGCAAGUCAGACGUGAAAUUCCAUGGCUCAACCCUGGAACUGCGUUUGAAACUGUUCUUCUUGAGUGAUGGAGAGGCAGGCGGAAUUCCGUGUGUAGCGGUGAAAUGCGUAGAUAUACGGAGGAACACCAGUGGCGAAGGCGGCCUGCUGGACAUUAACUGACGCUGAGGCGCGAAAGCGUGGGGAGCAAACAGG